AUGCAAAUCUACUGCUUUGAUGUGGACCAAUGUUCAAGGUUUAAGGAAGCAGUUAAAGGAAAAGGGAAGAUAAGAGCUUACCCGUUCCAUUUGAGGUUAAUAGAAGAAAAUUUGGAUUACAAAGCAAUUAUUGAUGGAGUCGGGAAUGUUAGUCGCUUUGGUCGCCUGGGAACAGGAGCUUCCUCACUCCUGUGUUCCACGUCCGCAGGGAGUGUCCAUGCAAUGCACAAAGGAGGCCUCUCCACGCCUUCCUGACGACGGUCCUUGGGUUUGCAAGAGGGUGGCAGGAGCCGUGGCAGGUGUUCCUGUUCAGUCAUCACAAUCACAUCGCAACAGUUCAAUGUUAGAAGCAGUGUAAGCAGGACGUCCUUGCCUCAUUCUUGACCUCUACGGGAAAGUUCAAGAACUCAGUCUUAAAUAUGAUGUUGACUAUGGGCUUUUAAAGUUGGCUGUUUCUGCAAAGUUCUUCCAAUGCAACAGUCUGUUUACAUCAUGCUGAUGGACUGCUUACAAAACAAUUUUCAAGACCAACAGAACCAGUUCUCUAGGCGGGUGAUUUCCUCUUAUACUGGAAAGAAAGAGACUCAUGAAGCAGAAUGACAUUCGUUUGCAAAACCGUUUAGCAUUCAAGUGUACAAUUCAAUGACACAUCACCUGCUCACUGCAUCGCGAGCCAUCGCCCCAAGCAAUCCGUCCUCCAGACUCCUGUGGAAAACAGUAUGGAGUUUCCUCAAAAAGCUAAAAAUGGAACUGCCUUUUGACCUAGUGAUCCCACUUCUGGGCAUAGAUUCUAAGAAUCCUGAAGCACUAAUUCAAAAGAAUAUGUGCACCCCUAUGUUCAUUGCAGGAUUGUUUACAAUAGCCAAGAUCUGGAAGCAGCCCAAGUGCCCAUCAGUAGAUGAGUGGGUAAAGAAGCUCUGGUACAUGGGAUACUACAUGGUCAUACAAAAGAAGGAAAUCUUACCUUUUGUGCAGCAUAGAUGGACCCAAACAGUAUUAUGCUAAGUGAAAGAAGCCAGUCCGAGAAAGACAAAUAACAUUCCAUUUCUGUACAUAUCUCAUCUCGGACCAGAGAAAAGCAGUUCCCUGACGGACAACGGGCUGCCCAGGACUCCGAGGAGCUCUUGUUAGGGAAUGGCGGAGCUGGCCCUCGAAAGAGGUUGGAGCUAGACCGCCAGGAAUCUUGUGCAUGAUUAAAGAAUUCCAAACUUUA